GCGGGUAUUGCCGAGUGGCCAAAGGCGCUAGCUUGAGGGGCUAGUCUCUAGGAGUUCAUGGGUUCAAAUCCCGUUACCCGCA
rnacentral:tRNA from 1 species